GGGAUUGUGGCUCAGAGGUAGAGCACUCACUUAGCAUGUGUGAGGCCCUGGGUUUGCUCCUCAGCACCA
rnacentral:tRNA from 1 species